AGCUGCGCAGUGAGCACAGCGCGAACCAUUCUUUCGCCGUUUACUAAAGAAUACCGUGUGGUCGCUCCAUAAAGUAGCAUACUCCAAUUUUUUAAGGGUGUUUGCCUCCAUUGGCAGAG